UUUUUUUUUGGUUUUUUUUUUGCCUUUUUU
rnacentral:sRNA from 1 species